UUUUGUCCUCAAACGGGCGUUUAUCACCCUUGUUACAAAAUGUUUUCCUCUUUUAUGACCACAAGCCAGAGUGAGAUAUUCAUACCACACUGUCCUCUGGCCAUGGAAAUAAUCUAUGUCCUCUCCUCUUGCCUACACCCAACUUUUCCCCACUCUUGUCACUAGACCCUUCUGCCAGCUUUUCUAUCAAGCCUUGUGCCACUUCCCUGUCCUUUGAUAUUGAAGCAAAACAGACACCAACCUCUAUCCUAAAUACCCUGUAAAAUGUGUGAGUCUCAGACUGUUAGAGGAUCGCUUGGACACUUGCAGUGACUCGGGCUGGAGCUGGCCCAGUGAUACCUGCGGUCACAAUCCCAUCAUCUCGUUGCUGUUUUGCUGCAAGUUGGACAUUUCUCCUCCUGUCCUCUCCUUCUCUGGAUGGGGGCCAGAGGGAAGGUCACGUCUGCCCCUGUAUGAACUGGAAUCUCAUGCAACCAAGGAAAGAACUUCCAAAGCACCGAAUGCCUCCUCCUCACCUACCAGAGGGCAACGUGCCCAUUCCCCUCUGUUCCUAUGUACUUCAGUAAGAAAUGAGGAAUUGUCUCCUGUGGCUGAUUCUGGUAAUAAUGUGCAUUAAAAGAGCCUUCAGAGGAGCUUCCCACAGUGUAAAGCGGGCAGUGUACCUCUCAUGCUUUAAUUUUCUGUGUUGGGAUUAUUUUGAGAGGCUUCCUGAGAAAUUUAAAGUGCUUGUGUGCAGGGUCCAGUAAGUUUAGAGUCCUUUUUUUUUUUUGGAGUUUGAUAAAGCAAAUAUCAAGGCAGCACCUGGUGCAUAGAAUGGCAUUGCUAGUGUGAAAGACUUGGGUGGAAAUGCCCUGUAAAGUGUAUUUGGCUCUGCUGCUGAAGCUGAUACAGGUGGUUUCUGAAUGUGUUUUCUGGUUUCUGUAUUCUCUCCACCUUCUACACUUCUGUGCACCAGAGAAGCACCACUGAAGGGAGGGAAUGGCCAUCGAUGGCUGUAUUUCAAUGGCUGUGAGGUGUGGAAGAACAGAUUUGCUACCAGAACUUAUCUGAAACAUAAUCGAAACUUAACAAGAAAAGAGCUCUUCUGAGAGCGUGGUCUGGCAGCCAGCUGCUGAUUGAGUAACGAUGAUAAACAGGUGGUAAAUCAGUGCACUAAGCAGGAGGAGAAAGCAAAGAGCUGCACCACCACCUGUGUCUUGAGGGAUAAUUCACACAAGAAGGGACCUCUGGA
rnacentral:lncRNA from 1 species